UAUGCAGCCACCAAACCCAGUCACUAUUGCUGAUGACAAAGAAAAGAUCUCUAUUGCCAAAGGGUACAGCAUUCCUGAAGAGAAAUAGUCUUUCUUCAGCUGAUGUUAACUGUCUCCUCAAAACCUUCCAUAUUAAGCAGAAACAUGUGUCUGAUGCCUCCUUAUCUUUUGUUCAUCCAUUCCUCCACCUGAAGCAGAAUGUGAAGACUGACAAUCCAACUGAAUUUGUCUGAUGUUUUCUCUCAUGAUUGCAAUGGGGUAAUGGAUUUUGUGAACACCAAGGAGAACUAUGAUAUUCAUCCACAUGAGAAUACUGGCAUAUUAGCAUCACCUUGUGGAGGAAACUAAAGGAGAUCAGACACACAUCACCUGACACCUCUUUUGUCAUCUAAUAGAGUACACGUAAGAAAAAAAGCACAUAUGCGCGUUCAAAGAAUAUUGAAGCAUAAUAAAUUUAAUGUCUGAGAUUUUACUAAAUAUCAACACAUUUGGUAUUUUAUUAGUGUCUUUGCAAGGGGUUAGAGCAGGGCAGUGUUAAGAGUGUUAAUUUCAGA
rnacentral:sRNA from 1 species